UCAAUUUGGCCGAUUACACUUGAUGAUGUGGAAAUCUUUGAUUGGACGUGGUUUUCAACAUUUCAAUUCCAAAUUUUCUUCAUAUUUCGGCCUACACCUUAGGAAAGAAGAGAAAAAUGCUUUGGGAGGGAAAAAACAAGUUUGGAGCUCUUUUAAAGCUCCAAUUUGAAUUCAAAAGAUUGGUCCCCCCAUUUGUACUUGGAUUGUACUUGAUUUGUACUUGGCUGUAUCCUUUGCUUUCUUCCUUCUUUUUUAUAACAAUGAAUAUGUCAAGGAAUAUUCUUCCAAAAACACCAAGUACACUCUCUUUCCUCUCCUUUUUUGGAUCGAACACCUUUCUUGAACAUUCUUCUUCAACAAGAUUAGAUGAACAUCGAAGAACAUGAUGAAUAUUCAAGGGUUGACCAACGUUUGACCUUCACUCAAAUGAACCCUAACCUUCAAUUUUUUUAUAGUUCUAGGUUUCUUAGAACAAGAUGAACUCAAAUAUCACAAAAUCAGCAACAACCAAUGUCCAAAACUACAACACCACACGGAUCUAUCUCCUCCAGAGCUUCCAGACGCCGUAUCCAUGGUGGAUCUUGUUCAAAUCGCCCAAAUCUUGUUCCAAGAGUAGAUCUAGACUCCUUAGGUGUUAGGGAGCAAGGAUAUAGCACUUAAAACCAACAAAACACAAUAAAAGUUAGUAGAUCUAACUUUUAACACACGGAUCUACUACAAACAAUAAGACAACACACAAUUAUUUUGAGAUUUUCAGUUUUUUUGACUCUUUUUGUGAGAUUUUAUUAAUAAAGGCACUAAAAUCAAGAUUUAGGGAUGUAGGAACAACCCUAACCAAGGCAUUGAUACCAAAUGAUACAAUAAUCAACUACUAAAAACGAAAUUAACCUUAAGAACCUAAAAAUCAGCAACUGCAAGAAAGGGAGAUGAAGUAGAAGACACGAAUUUAACACAAAACAAGAUAGAAUUGCAUAAAAAUAAAAGGAUAGAUAGUGAAACAUAUACCACCUUGAAUGAUUAGCACCUAAUUGUGUAUCAAACAACUAGACACACUUCACUAUGGAUGGAUAGCACUUCAUUCUUAGGUGAACAGAAGGAAUUCACACUCCCCCAAUCACACCUUUCUUGCCAAAUGUUCAAUACAAGUGAAAAACCUUCCAAAUGUAUUCAACACUCCAUUUUCGGAUUCUAAGCCAAACUAGAAGACUAAAAAUUACAACUAAAGAGUAUUCUUUCAAUAUUCAUCAAAGCUAAUGAGAAUGGAAGCUAAAAUUUCUAUUUAUACUAUUACAUAACAAUUGACAAAAAUUCCCUUAAUGAGGACUAGGCAAAAGGGCGCCUCUUGAGUGUUGAAAUGUAGGAUAUAAGGUUAAAUUUUCCAUUCACUUGAGGCGCCUCUUGAGUGUAUAAGUCCUCCUCCUUUUUUCUCUUGACCAAGGCUUCAAAAUGCACCAAAAAGGUCUUCAAUUGUUUGCCAAUUACGAAGCUUGAACCUUGGACAAUAGCUUGUACUCUUGGUGAUCCUUGUGCUUGAAUCCUUUCUCCACAUAGAAUUCUUAAAAUUUUGGAGUAUAUUGCAAAUAAGAAAAGAUUUCCAAAUCAAAUUAAAAACUAGGAGUAUAUAACAAAUAAGAAAAGAUUUUCAAAUCAAACAUGAGUUAUGAACAAAUACAUAACAAAUUACAAAUCAUACAAUUAAAUCAAGGACAUAAUCAAAACACACAUAAAAGACAAUAAGUUUAAACUAAAGGAAAGGAUUUGAUAAAAAAACACUUAAGUUGGUAUCAUAUGUAAUAAGAGUAUUAAUACAAAUCAAUACUUUGAGGAAAUAAAUUUGUUGACAAAUACAUAUAUAUAAACAUAUAUAUAUACAUAUAUAAACAUAUAUAUAUACAUAUAUAUAUAUAUACAUAUAUAUAUACAUAUAUAUAUAUACAUAUAUAUAUACAUAUAUAUAUAGAGAGAGAGGGGGGUUAUAGGGGACUGAAAGAUAAAUAAAUAGAUUUAUAGGGAUGACCCUAUAGAAAAUAAAUAUUGUAAAUCUAACCCUCCUUAUAACUAUAAAAGGAGAGAUAGAAACCCAUAGAAGACAAACUACAUUUUCUCAGAAUAUUCUCUCUUUGAAAAAUGUUAGGUAUCUUCUACAUGAGUGAGUAAGAGACACCUCUCUCGUCAGGGAAAGGUAAUAAGUAGUGUGAAUGUAAGUAUAACGAAGAUCUGAUUAAAGAUUUUUCCUAUGUUGUAAUAUAUUCAAGAAAUAAAAAGUUUGUUUCAUAUAUCCUUUGCCAAUCUUUUGUGCUGGUAAAAAAUGGAGGUUGUGAUCUUCAGCCUUAACGGAGGAAGGGUGGAGCAGUAGGUUGAGACAGUGAGUCAUAAUAGGCUAAAAAUUUCUUCAUAGCCAGAAAGAGAAGCACUGUGGUGUUGAUACAACUAACAUAAAAGAAAGUCAAAUGAUAUAUGCAUAAACUCUACUAUUUCAUGAACAUAUUAGCAUAAGAAAAGUCUGUUUUCAUAUCUGCUCUAUACCUUCAUACAUAUUAUAUAUUACUAAGUACCUAUAGGGAAUAUAAAAUUAUGAAAUUUUUAUAUUUAUUAUCAUGAGAGAGGUACAACCACAAUUACAAAAACUUAGAAGAAAAAUUUGAGAAACCAUAAUAAUUAUAAGAAGGAUUAAUGAAGCUUUAAUAAAUUUGAGAAACUAUGGUAGAAAAAUCUAUAUUUUAAGAAAGAAUACUUCGAAUAAUCUUGUGAAAUCUAGAAUUAACGAAGUAGAGAAGCUACUACUUAGAGCACAAGAUAGAGAUCAAUCUUUAAAAAAUACACAUGUUUAUCUGUUAAAAAAAAUCUAAGGCUAAGUUAAAGAAUUACAUACUUUAUAUUGCCUAAUGAGUUAUUAUACAAUUUUCUUAAAUGAAAAAACAUAAAUUUAUAUUUUAAAAGUGAUAAAAUUAAAUAUAGAUUUACAAGAAAAAAUUCUUGAAAAAAUUAUAGAUCAUCUUGUUCAAGAACAAUGGUCUAUACAUGACUAUUCAUAUGUAGAUAGUAAUGAUGAUCCAUACUAUUGGUAUGAUGAUGAUUAUUUCACUGAUUAAGUGAAUAAAAAUUCCGCAUGCACACCCUGUUUGCGAACAACUUCAUUUUAUUGAAGCUACUACUUAGAGCACAAGCUACUACUUAGACCACAAUUAUAGCAUUUACAUUUAUCUGUGGUAGGUUUUCAAGUGAAAUUUAUUCGUUUUUAAAAGUAUUUUUUCCUUGGUAUAUAAUUUUUCUUGGAAAUAUUUUUCUUUUUAAUUAAUCCUUUGGUUUUCCUUAUUCUUUUUGAAGGAUUUUCGUAAAAUAGUAUGUUCGUUCUAUUUGUGUUCAAGAAGUAGAGAAGCAUUCCCAAUGGACAUUUUACUAAUAGUAUGCUCAAGUGUUACUACUAGUAUUUUAAAUAGUAUUUGAAAUAACCUAAGUGUUUUCUCUAAAUAUUCUCUGAAUAACCUGACUAUAUUUUCUCUGAAUAUUCUCUUUCUUAAAAAAAUUCUAGGUAUCUUCUGCAUGAGUGAGUAAGAGACACCUCUCUCGUCAGAAAAAAGUAAUAAAUAGUGUGUAUUUAAGUAUAAGGAAGAUCUCAUUAAAGAUUUUUCCUAUGUUGUAAUAUGUUCAAGAAAUAAAAGUUUGUUUCAUAUAUCCUUUGCCAAUCUUUUGUGCUGGGAAAAAGUAAAGGUUGCGAUCUUCAACCUUAACGGAGGAAGGACAGAGUCAGUAGCCUGAGAUAGUGAGUCACAAUAGGCUAAAAAGUUUUUCAUAGUUGGAAGGAGAAGCACUAUGGUGUUAAUACAACUAACAUAAAAGAAAGUCAAAAGGUAUAUGCAUAAACUCUACCAUUUCAUGAACAUAUUAGCAUAAGAAAAGUCUAUUUUCAUAUCUGCUCUAUACCUUCAUACAUAUUAUAUAUUACUAAGUACCUAUAGGGAAUAUUAAAUUAUGAAUUGUUUAUAUUUAUUAUCAUGAGAGUGGUACAACCACAAUUACAAAAAUUUAGAAGAAAAAUUUGGAAAACAUAAUAAUUAUAAGAAGGAUUAAUGAAGCUUUAAUAAAUUUGAGAAACUAUGGUAGAGAAAUCUAUCUCUUUAGAAAGAAUACUUCAAAUAAUCUUGUGAAAUCUAGAAUUAACGAAGUAGAGAAGCUACUACUUAGAGCACAAGAUAGAGAUCAAGCUUUAAAAAAUACACAGGUUUAUCUGUUCAAAUGAUCUAAGGCUAAGUUUAAGAAAUACAUACUUUGUAUUGCCUGAUGAGUUGUUAUACUAUUUUAUUAAAUGAAAAAAUAUUAAUUACUUUUUUUAAAGUGAUAAAAUUAAAUAAAGAUUUACAAGAAAAAAUUCUUGAAAAAAUUAUAGAUCAUCUUGUUCAAGAACAAUGGUCUAUACAUGACUAUUCGUAUGUAGAUAGUGAUGAUGAUCCAUACUAUUGGUAUGAUGAUGGUUAUUUCACUGAUUAAGUGAAUAAAAAUUCUACAUGCACACCCUGUUUGCGAACAACUUCAUUUUAUUGGUUUAUAAUAUUUAUUUUCUAUAGGGUCAUCCCUAUAAAUCUAUUUAUUUAUCUUUUAGUCCCCUAUCAAGAUAAGAUAAAAGAUAAGAUAAGAUUCUUCUUUCUCCUGAUUGGAUUGUUUUUGGACCGUGGGUCCAAUUUCUUCUAUCAUUUUUGUCGUUUAGUGCCAACACUUAUUUUGACGUAAUUGUUUUUUCUUUACAUUUUCUCUUUUAUUAUUGUCUUUGCUUUACAGCUGUAAGUUACAUCUCAUCUGACAUUGAAGAGCUAUCUUCAUCCCUUCUCUUGAGAUGUUCAUGUUCCAGAAAUUUGCAUGCCAUGGUCCAUGUUUUUGGAGUGGUUGGAAAUUGUUGUGUUUCAAAUUUUGUAGUUUUGUUCUUUAAGACUGCUGAUUUUGAUCUUCCUUUGGUCAUAAGAAUCUAGUUUGUAUCCCUGUUGAGGACUUUAUAAUUUUUUGCAUAUUUGUUUUUAAGGAUGUGAUAUACAGCUUUCAUCCCUAAAGCUCGUCUGGUUUGAAUUUUAUUGGUAUCAUCUUUCAUUUUAUUGGUAUCAGAGCCACAUAGUUAAAUAUACCUGGUUAGUAAAUUAAUUAUGAGAAGACCAUAUAAAAAUAUUUAGGUUUUCAAAGAAGUCAAAAGAGCUUUAAAUAGUAACUAUUUAGAAUAUAAAAGAUUAAGUGAAACAAAAGAAGACCCUGAUAGAUUAAAUUAUUUAAUUACUUUGAUCUCUAGUAUUGAGGUAAAAUUAAUAAUACAUUUAAAGUCUAGAAGAAUGGGGUGCAUACCACAUAAUUAUGAUAAAAUUAGGUUUAGGGAUCCACCUAAAUAUUAUGGAUAAAGAGCAGGUUUUAAAACUAUUACCAGAAUUAAAGCAAGAACUUAUCAUCCGAAAGGAAAGAUAUACUUAUAACUCAUUUGCAAGAGUUUGUAAAAAAUCCUUGUUUUAUCAAAAGAAGAUCAUUUUUUAGCUGGGACUAGAAAUCUGGCAUCUAGAGUAUAAACUAGAACAUAAUUUGUUUAAAUGAAUAAAAAAUUCUUAGAAAAGGUCUUAGAAAAACUUGAUGAUCUUUUAGCUACGCAAAAGCAUAUAAUCCUUAAAAUAAAUCUAAUAGAAGAAGAAAUCAAAACCCCUAAAAAUAACUCACUAGCUAAAAUACAUAAUCUUAUUGAAAAAGCUGGUACCCUUAAUAAGGAAUUAGGAAAAAGAAUUAUAGACAAAUAUUUUGUUUCAAGAAUUUUGAAUAAGGGAACCUAUCAGAAAGGAAGUCUUGAUGAAAAAAUUAUAUCUAGUUUCCUAGAAAAAAGACAAAGAGAAGAAUUAGAAAAAUUAGAAUUAGAAACUAUCUCAAAAACUUCUAAACAUAAGGAUAAGGAAGAAGCCUCUACUUCUAAAAUAUAAAUAGAAGAAAAUGAAUGAACUAGACGAACUAGUAUAUGUUUUAGAAGAGCUUGUUCUUAAUGAUCAAAAUUAUCGUGUCCAUAUGACUCGUGGAGAUACAAAAGGACCCCAAGAAAACUUUAAAGAACCUAAAAAGGAAGAAAGUUCGUCCAACGAGCCAUUAUCUAGGAUUAACUUCCUACCAAAAUCUAAGAAAUGAAAAGACUAUAAUAGUCAAUACCUUAUAAAUUCUAAGGCUAAAUUUAUACCAAAUAGACUCCCAGUAGAAGACGCUGGAUCUGCCCAGUUUCUAGACCUGGACUGUAAAAAAGAACCAGGAGAAAUUCUAGACUUAUGGGCAAGAAACUUAGAACUAUUUUUUAUACCAGGGAAAGGAAAUAAUUAUACUAGUAAUAAAAAAUAUUUAAUUGCUACAAAUACCUUUACUGGAAAGGUAGACAAUUGGUUCAGAAGAGUUUUAGAACAAGCUGAAAAGGUAUUUAGACUAGAAGUCAUAGCAGAUUUUGAUAAAUCAAUUCGAGUAGGAAUAGAUCACCUAGUUAGGUAUAUAGGAGCUGAAUUUUUAGGAAGCCAAGCAGACAUUUCUAAAGGAAAAGAAAAACAAGGGCUACUAGCGGCAGAAUGGCUAGAAAAGCUGCAAAUUUGUAAAAUGAAGUACAUCCAAGAAUAUACUUGUGAGUAAAAACUUAACUCCCUAAAUGGACAAGUAUUAUCAAAAGCUACCAGGAUAUUGGGCUAGCUAUUUUAGAGAUGAAUAUGCGAAGGAAGAUCAAACGCAGGAUUCUCUGGGAAGAAGAAUUACCUUCGUUAACCAAAGGCUUAGUCAACUUUGUAUGUUACAUAACAUGUAAAGAAAAGCCAAUAGAAUUGGCACACAAAUUUACUGUGAAGACACAGAAGCACCAUCUCAACUGGGGUGUUACAAAAAUUCUUCAAAAAGAAAAAGAAAAACCAAAGGAUUGAUUCAAAGGAAAAAUAUUGACAAGAAAAAUUAUAUACCAAGGAAAAAAUACUUCAACAUACGAAAAAUUUCAGAAGAAAACCUACCACAGAUAAAUGUAAAUGCUAUAAUUGUGGAGAAGAAGGCCACAAAAGUUAUGAAUGCAACAAGAAAAGAGUAAAAAUAUCUAAAAUAGAUAGAGAGGAAAUAGAAUCAGACUUAGAGUCAAUCUCAUCUAUAAAAAGUGAAGAUUUUCACGAAGAACUCUAUGAAGAAUUUUCAGAAUCUAGUACUGAUUCAGAAGAAUGAGUCAAGAAAUUGAAAAUAUAGAAAAAAACACUCAGGUUAUAGAAGUUGAAGAAGAUCAGCAAGGAUAUGCAUUAAAAGCAACGUUCGAUGGAGAAUUAUUAAGAAAAAUCCAAGGAUUAAAAUUCAAUCUUUGAAUAGAAGAUAGUAUAUUUAAUAGAUUACAAAGAACCUUUUCAAGAAAUAAAAUCUCUUAUCAUGAAUAUCAGGAGAUUGAAAAAGUAAUUGAAGUCACUCAAACUACUGGAAGACAUAAGAUCAACUUAUUAACAAAGUCUAUGAUCGACCAAUUUCUAAGAAAAAUCCCAGAAGGAAAUCGAAAAAAAUAAAUUAUAUUCAUUUAGGAGAAAUCCAAAUAAUGGUUAAAUCUACCUUUAAAGAGGGAAUUGGCUAUCCCAUAGUAAUUAACCUUUCAGGUGAAAGAUUUAUAAAUACUAAAGAAGGAAACCUUGGAAUUGUUGAAGGAAAUUCGGCUUAUACCAAAUUAUUAUUCACCUAUUAUCUUAGGUAUUGUAUUUCACUAAAAGAUGCAAAUUUUAAUGAAGCUUUAAGUUUGCAUUUUCAGGUAAAAAGAAAAGAUUUAUUCAAACCAGGUAAUCAUAUCAUGAGCAUAUAUUAUCAAGCUCUAUAUACGAUUACCAAUUCAAAUUAUGGAAAUGUCUAUAAAAAUAAAAGUCUGGUCGAAAUUGACCAAGAAUGCGCUGGUCGAAAUUGACCAAGAAUGCGCAGGAAUAGCCAGAAUAGUUGAAGUAGAAACUCAACAACCAAAUAUUCCUAUUGAAUAUGAAAUUCAUGUGGGAAAAGCAAUAGAAAUAGGAAGUUCUUCCACCUCAAGUCAAAGACUCUCAAUAGAAUAUGGGAGAAACUCCAUAAGGAAAGGUAAUUCUAGAAGAUUCAAUAUUAAGGAUUCUAACAAUGUUAAGUUUCAGGAAGAUUCUUCAAUAGAAGCAAAUGGAACAAACAAAUAAUCCUAAUACAGUCAAGAUCAUCAGCAAAUCACAUCAAGAAAAAUAUCUUAGACGGGUUAAUUAGCUAUGAAGGUAAGUCAUACAUUUACAAAACAUUUGAAGGAAAUAACUAUGAAUGUUCAAAAAUGGUAAAGUUACCAAUACAACUUGGAACAAUCAGAACGGAAGUUCCUUGUUAUAUUAGCAAUCAUGAAUAUGAUUAUAAUAUAAUCUUAGGAGGAACAUUCCUAAAUAGUUUAAAUCAAUAUAAUAUCCAAAAGGAAGGAAUCAAAAUAACUUUGGGAGAUAAAACUUAUUUUAUUUCAUAAAUCUAAAUGCCAAAGGAAACCUCUUUUAGAGUAUCAGUAUUUGCAGAAUUCACAACCUAGGAAACAAAACUAACUUCUUAUUGUCAAAUAGAUAACGGGCCAGAAGCUAGUUUGGAAAAAUCCUUUUUAAUAAAAAAUUAGAAUACAAAUAAUGAUAAUAAUAAUAAUAUCACCUUGAUAGGUUUUACAAGAAAUAAAGAAAAAUUAACUCAUGAAAAAAAACGUAAAAAUAAUUUUAGGAUCUAAAAUUGUUUCUAUAAAACAUGUUUUUGCUUAUGACAAACUUGACACUGAUUUACUAUUAGAAAAUGAUUUUAUACAACAGUUUCAAAAUUAUCAUCAGACCAUAGAUAUGGUUAGUUUUAAAACCCCAUGUACUUAAUCCAUAAAAAUUCCAAGGAAACAUAAUCCUUAUAUUUUGAUAAAAGAAAAUGGAAUCUUUAAAAAGAAAUUUUCAGAUACCCUAAAUAAUUACUCUUGUAAAUGUUUCAAUUUAGAGAAGAUAAAACAGGACUUACAAGCUUCUUAUGGAGAAAAUCCAUUAGAAAAAUAGAAUAACAACCAUGAAAAAGCAGCUUUAAUUCUU
rnacentral:lncRNA from 1 species